CUGUAGGAAAAGGGGGAUGAAUUAUGUAAUUAGUUUACAAUGAUUUGCUCCAGUCACACGAUAUAGUACAAGUGAAGAGAGAAAUUUCAGUGAAAACACAACCACUUACAGCCUCCAUCAGAUAGUAAGUACAGAGAAUGCAGCAACUGAACUAAGUCCCCAUGAGUCCGAACAGAGAGUAUCACCCCAAAGGUCACAUUUCUCUGGACUGAUGAGGAGAUGAGUAUACAUGAGUGUAUGAUAUUGUAUAUUGCAUUUGUUGUGCACGAGCACCGUGGGUAUAUGAGAACUUCGGCCUACAGGCAUCUCAGAGCCCUGAAUGCUGCAUGGUCUGCUGAAGAAAGAAUCAGAACAAAGAAAAGGAAGCCAAGACCCCCGCAGCGACCUGCGGCGACCCCGCGUCUCCCACCUGGGGGCGUGAUUUGGACACAGCCAAACUCGCAUCCCUCAUUGGCAGAGACUUACACGGCACCUGUGAUGUCCCGGCGGGUCUCUUGACAUCACAGACUCUAUAAAACAAUGAUGCGAUGCCCACCGCUCAUCGCUGUACAGGUAAGAAACCCGCUUUGAUCAGGUGGGUUCCUCUGUCCUUCAAAGGAGGUAACCACUUCUAACUUAGACUUCGUCCACCUGCUACGAUUACCUUAGAAACCAGAAGAUGUGACCGUGCACGCAGCUGAACCAGGCCCCAGGAUUCCCGACUUUGCUGGAGGAACCAGAAUCCGCCUUUUUUUCUUCCUCUGUGCGCAUUUGGAAAUGCACACAGCACCGUUACCGAGACAAUAGCCGUUGCGACGGAACACUCUGUCGAUUGAUCCCUGCAGAAGGAAAGACCUGAACCCACAGUCUUUCAACCGAGUCGACCGCUGGUCGAUCCGAACCUGGAGGGUCGCGCACCGCUCUGCCAGCAUGUCUGAACUCUACAGUAAUCAGUAGACCAUGGUUUAACAGUCAACAGCUCUGUCUCUUUCUCACUGUGUGUUACAUCGUUUUCCAGGUGUAGUUCUUAUCACUCCUUGCAGCACUGAGUAGCCGUUUGUCUUUCAAAACACUGCAGUAAAACUCUGAACAGGACUGCUCAAAGUUGAGAGUGAUCAAGAGCUCACUCCUCAUAAGCUCCACGUGGCACCUGUUCCUGCUGUCACUCAAUUUGUUGUUCAUUCUGGAAAAGAUCCUUUCCACAUAUCCAGUGGAUGCUGGGAUGUUUAGGAUGUGGCUGAUGAUGGACAGAAUGUUAGGCAGGUCAGCUACUUUGAAGAGAGCCACCCACCUGGCAGCCACGUCUUUGGACUUCCAUUCAUCUUCUGUACCUCCUCUGAGCCCCUUAAGAAUGGUAUUUGCUGUUGUGCAUUCAUCAUAAAGUUCAUCCAUAUUUACUUUUUGGAUGAGGUUGAGCUUAUUAGCAACCCUCUCAGUGUGGCUGAAGGAAAGCAUGCCAUGGUGCAUAGAGAGAGGUUGCAUGGAGAACAGCCAGACCUGGUACAUUUGGAGAGCUUGCAGAGACCAUACUGCAGAACAUAUUCCAACUCGCUUUGCAGCGCAAGUGUACACGCAUUGACUUUGUCAUUGACCAGUAUCCACUCAUCAGCACAAAAACCUAGAACGGUCAAGUAGAGCUGAUGCAGGGUCACAACGCAUCCAAAUCUUUGACCCGGAUCAGAGGACCCCAACCCAAUGGAAAAAGUUACUCUCUGAAGGAACAAAUAAGGAAGCACUUGCCGAAUAUCUGUAUGUUGCAUGGAAAAAUGCAGACCUUACAACAGUGGGCAAAAACCUCUGUUAAUGUUGUUGAAGACCUGCAUGAUCAUGAAGAAAGUGACACAAGGGUGUUUUUACAUGCACAACAUGCUACACGGGAGCAUAAAGCUGUCAUUAUCAAGAGCUCUGACACUGAUUUGGCAGUCAUUGCUGUAAGUCUGCAGACAGAUUUGCCAUGCAGCUUAUAUGUUUUCACAGGGACUGGCAACAGGACACGUAUCAUUGACAUUACCAAGGUGUCAUCAGCUCUCGGAACCAGUGUGUGUUCAGCCUUGAUUGGAAUUCACAGAUUGUCUGGGUGUGACUCCACAAGUGCCUUUUAUGGCAAAGGACAAAGAAAGACAUUUUCUGUUGCAUGUGAGAAAGAUGAGUAUCUUAAGGCUUUUAAAAGUUUAGGUACUAAGUUUAACCUGGAGCAGUCAACAUUUGCACUUCUUUGCCAGUAUGUAUGCCACCUAUAUGAUCAGCCAGCUGCCGAAAAUAUAAAUGAGGCUAGGUACAAGGCAUUCUGUAUGGCAUCUGGCCUUGCCAGAAUUAUGCCUUCCCCCUACUACUGAUGCCCUCCAUCAGCACUGCAAAAGGGCAAACUACCAGGCUGAAUAAUGAGGUCCUGCCUCAAAAGAAAUAUAAGUGCUCCAUCACCUGCUGGAUAUGGUUGGCAAAUAGAGGAUGGGAACUUACACGUCACCUGGAUGAAAAGAAAUCCGGCCCUGACAGUGUUUUGCAUGUGAUACACUGCAGCUGCAAAGAGAGUGCCUGUGAGAAAGGCAGAUGUCCCUGUUUCUCUGCAGGACUGUGUUGCACAGACUUAUGUCGUUGUUCCAAUUGUGCCAAUACAAAAGAAACAGAGGAAAAGCAAGAUGACAACUGUCCUGACACUGACAGUGAGGACUAGAAGUGUCUAGAAGUGUCCUUAUUCUGUUAUGCCUUAUUCUGUUUUGUAAUGUUUUAUAUUGUAUAUUUCAUAUUUUUAAUAAGGAUCGUUUUUAUGGUUGAUCAGUGUUGUUUUCAUUUGUGGAUGAAUGAAUGAAUGAAUGAACGAACGAAUGGUCAUUGGUAUAAGUACAAUUACUGCCUUUUAUUGAUCUAAAUGUUAAAAUGUAUGACAAACCAUGACAUAAAACAAACAUACAGCACUGUUUAGAAUCCAUUUGGCCUGGUAUCGGUAACGUUGAAUCUAAGACGGGGGCAGCCAUGUUGCAAUUCUGUUGACAAAAAGCAGCUACCUUAUUGGUGUAGCACGAUCACGUGUCGAACCGUGCCACCACUCGCGACCAAAAUCUUAUUAAGCUCUGAAGAAACUAGUUCUGCAUAAAACAUAGACGCUAGGAGAAUCGACUGGAAUUUAGCAUGACGAGUACAGGGUUCACCUUACAGCCUAUAUCUACGGCCAAGCAUGGACAGUCUGUCACAGUCUGCAGUUUUGUUGGAGGGAAAUUACUGCAUUGGCCUACCUCUGAAAAGCAAAGAGCUCUGUAAGCCCAACAACCGGGUUAUAGCAUAGCAGCUUGCCCUGAACAUGAGAAAAAAGCUUCUCAAAAGCUACGCAGUGAAGGUUCCUGACAACGACCUCAACCGCAAUGAUGGAAAGGUGUGGUACAUUCCACACCAUGAAGAGAUUGCGUGGCCUAUUCGAUUGUGGCGCUUCAUAUCAGGGAGCCUCACUAGCCUAAUUAGCACCUUGAUUGGGGUCCUCACCAAAUUUUGCCAGGAAGCUGUGGCUAUCAUGGCAGACGUGGAGGCAAUGUUUCAUCAGAUAAAGGUCCCGCCGGAAUAUCCUGACCUACUGCGUUUUUUAUGGUGGCCUGAUGGAGACAUCAACAGCGAUCUGGUGGAGUACAGGAUGGUGGUUAAUCUAUUUGGUGCUACUUCAUCACUGAGCUGUGCUAGCUGUGCCCUAAGACGAUGUGCUGAAGACAACAGGGACCUGUUUGACGCUGCAGUGGUCGACACAGUGUUGCACAAGUUUUACGUUGAUGACUGCCUCAAGUCAGUCAGCUCCGAGGUGGAGGCAGUGCAACUGUACAACCUGAAAGCAAUGCGCCAACAGGGGGGCUUCAAUUUAAUGAAGUGGAUAAGCAACAGUCGAGUGGUGCCUGCAGCCAUACCGCAGGUUGAAAAAGCAAAUGACGUUAAAGAUUUGGACCUGGAUCAAGACUCACUCCCCAUGGAAAGAGCACUUGGAGUACAAUGGUGCGUACAAUUUGACCGCUUCAAGUUCAGACUCGUCAUUCAGGACAAACUGCCCACCUGAAGAAACGUCCUUUCCAUGGUGAGUUCGAUCUAUGAUCCCUUGGGAAUCUUGGUGCCGGUGGUUCUGCUAGCAAAAAUAUCUUGCAAGAGCUCUGCAGGUUAAAGAUCCGCUGGGAUGACAUAAUUCCAACUCAUCUUGCCCAGCAGUGGUUGGAUUGGAUAAAGCAACUGCAGCUGCUCAGUGAGUUUGGAGUUGACAGGUUGUUCAAGUCAACGCAUUUUGGAGAGCCUAUAUUCGCUCAGCUAUAUUAUUUCUGUGAUGCUAGCGAAAAAGGGCUACAGAACAUUUACCUACUUAGUCCAGCAGAACAGCAGCAAACAGGUUCAUAGCGCAUUUGUGAUGGGUAAGGCAGGGUUUCCACAACCAAACCUACCACUAUCCCUUGCUUGGAGUUAACAGCCGCAACCAUGGCAGUGCGCAUGGACAGGAAGUUGAGGAGAGAGCUGUCGCUGCAGCUUGUGGAGUCAGUGAGCUGGACAGAUAGCAUGGCUGUGCUUAAGAAUGUUAACAACGAGAUGAAAGGUUACGCACUUUCGUGGCCCAUAGUGUCAGAAAUACUGAAAGUGUCUACAGCAUCUCAGUGGAGGCAUGUAAGUUCACACUUAAAUCCAGCUGAUUUUGCAUCAAGGGGACAGAAGGUGGACUCCUUUGUGCAAAACCAAGUGUGGCUUUCUGGACCAGACUUCCUCACAAAAUCAGCUGACAGCUGGCCUGAGAACCCCCGAUCACAUGAGAGACCUCACAGCAUCAGAUCCUGAGAUCAAGAAAAAUGCAACUAUCAACGCUGUUGCUUUAGAUGAAAGAAAGGAUGUAGUGGAACAACUGAUAGAGCACUACUCAUCGUGGACACGCCUCAAGAAAGCUGUGGCAUGGAUCAUCAAGGUAAAAGACACAUUGCUGUGCCUAGCUAAAAGGAGAUAAGAACAGAGUACAGACAUUGCAGUGUCCUUCGUCAAUGAGAAUCAACAAAAACAGCAGCUCCACAAGAUUAUGACAAGCUACAAGGCAAGUCUCAGCAACAGAACUCUCACAGUAGGUGAUUUGAGUAAAGCUGAACUGGAGAUCUUACGACACUGUCAGCUAAAGAGGUUCCUAGAGGAAAUCAACACUCUACAAAAGGGUGAGCCUGUCAAAAGAAGAAGCCAUAUAUCCAAGCUCGACCCCAUUCUUCAAGAAGGAGUCCUUAGUGUUGGCGGUAGGCUCAGUCGAGUAGCCAUGCCGGAAGAAUACAAACACCCUGCCAUCCUGGGUAAGGACCGGCGGGUGUCAGAGCUCAUCCUGCAGGAGAUCCACCAAGACUUGGGUAACAGUGAACGCAACCAUGUUUUAUCCAAGUUGCAUCUAAAAUACUGGAUCCUCAGUGCAAGUGCAACAAUCAGAAGAGUCCUGUCCAAUUGUUUCCUGUGUCGGCGACUACAUGGUGCUUCUGGGCAACAAAAGAUGUCAGACCUGCCACAAAACAGAGUUAUUGCAGAUGAACCGCCCUUCACCAGAACUGGAGUGGACAACGUCAGUCCCUUUGAAGUCAAGCGCGGAAGAAUUACUGUAAAGAGAUACGGCGUCAUCUUCACCUGCUUGGCUAUUCGAGCUCUCCACUUGGAGGAGGCAGCUUGCCUUGAUACUGUCUCGUUCAUUAAUGCUCUCCGCGAUUCAUUGCAUGAAGUGCAAAAUUGGUCAAGUUGUAGAGCUGCGUUCAGACAACGGGACCAACUUUGUUGGGGUUGAGCGGGAGCUCAAAAAGGCUAUCCUUGAGUGGAACACUUCAAGAAUAGAGGACACGUUGCUUCAGCGAGGCAUUAAGUGGAUGUUCAACCCCCCUACUGCCUCUCACCAAGGAGGAGUAUGGGAGCGUUUAAUCAGGUCCAUCAGAAAAAUCCUCAAUGCAACCUGUAAGAGACAGUCUGGAUGAGGAGACCCUUCAAACGUUUCUUUGUGAGGCUGAGGCCGUCUUAAAUGGUUGUCCCAUUACUACAUCUUCCAGCGAUCCAAACAACCUUGAAGCGCUCACCCCAAACCACCUCCUACUAUUGAGGCCUAAGCCAUCCAUACCUUCGGGACUCUUUCAGAGAGAAGACCUCUAUGCACGCCGAAGGUGGCAGCAGGUCCAAUACAUGGCAAACUUAUUUUGGACGCGCUGGGUGAGAGAGUAC